GUCCCCGGCGUCCGGGCGCCCUGCAUGGAUCCCCCACCCCAGCUCCUGCUCCCCGGCGGCGGCCGGUGGGCAGAAAGACCGAAACCCACUCACGGCCGCCUGCCGAAUCGCGGCUCUGCUGUUUGUGGGGCGUGCUAGAAACGUGGUCCUAAAAAGAAUGGCGUCCAUUUACAUAAUGCUUUGUUUGCGUUUCGCAAGUUUCUUUCGGUUAAAGCCACAGAAACCCCACCUCCUGCCCUUGUGUCGUUUCCACCGCGGCACCCUUUUCCGACAUUAGAAACAAUAGUGUACGCCUGUGGAGGCCUCGUUUGUUCAGGGGCUGCCGGCCAGGGCUUCAGGACGUUUCUGCGGCUUUCCCCGCGCGGCCUGGGCUCCCGCGGCUGCUUUUCGGGCCCAUGGGCGCAGCCACUGCGCCAGGCUCAAGGGGGGCGGCCCCGUCAGGGCCCGCCAUCUUGGAAGGCCUUUUUUGCCGGUUCUUCCCGCUGAGGAAGUGUCGCUCAAGACGCUGGCCUAUGAGUUGUGAUUUCUGCCUUUUCCCCUUCCUCCUUGGGCUAAGCCAGACCAGAAAGGGCCCCGUGCGCAACGUGCUUCACAAUCUCUCAGGGAAAGCGGCUAACGUGGCGCUACUCCGCCUCCCCUGUUCCUUACCCUUGGGGCGGCCGCCAUGUUUCCUGAACACAAAAUGGCGACACGUGGUUAGCAUUCGUCGCCAACGAGAAAUUGGGGUCGGCCCGAAAGCUCUAGAAUGCACCCCUCUUCCUCCCCGGGGCCUUCCACCUCCGCGAGUUUUAUGACUUAAAAAAGCCCACAGGCUGGUCUGAAGGUCGGAGGCCUAAUUUUAACGCGUUUUCCUCCCUUUAAUUUGAAACGGGAACGCGAAUGACUGUAAAAUGUGGGCACAAUAUUUAAUCUCUCGCCUUUUUAAAGCUUAAUAGUGGAUAAUAGGGGGGCAGUAUCAAGGGAUAAUUUGGGUCCCCACAGUACCAAAGCAUUUAGAAACCUCUGUUUAAUUUAAGGAAUGAGAUAAGUUACUGCUUUUCUAGACUUCCUAGCAUGGGCUGUUGUGCUGGAGAGAACGAGAGCUACGAAGAGACUACAGUGCCUCUGACUUUUUCAUAGGACAGUUGGCCGAGGAAGACAAACAUAAAGAUGAAGUGCUUAAUUCAAGGUCACACAAUGUCGGGGAUGGACCUCCAGAUUUCCUUACUGACCUGCAUUAUCUUGUGGAUACCUGAGUGAAUUCCACACCACCCAUUUUAUAGAUGAAACCACUGAGACAUGGAGCAAUUGACUGAGUAGUCACUGCCCCACCCCUGCCUGGAGCCUCACACAUGACUCGCCUCCUCUCAGUGACCACAGGUGAGACGUGGUCUUGUAACACAGUGGUUAAGAAUGUGACUUUGGAGCCAGCCUGCUAGGGGCUGAAUUCUGACUCAGCCAUUUACUAACUGUGUGACCUUAGUCUCACUGUUGCUCAGGCUGGAGUGCAAUGGCAUGAUCUCGGCUCAUCACAACCUCUGCUUCCUGGGUUCAAGCGAUUCUCCUGCCUCAGCCUCCCGAGUACCUGGGACUACAGGCACUCGCCACCAUGCCCGGCUGAUUUUUGUAUUUUUAAUAGAGAUGGUUUCACUAUGUUGGCCAGGCUGGUCUCGAACUCCUGACCUUGUGAUCUGCCCACCUCAGCCUCGAAAAGUGCUGGGAUUACAGGCGUGAGCCACUGCGCCCAGCCUUGUAUUUUUUUUCAGUUUGGGUAGCUGUCCCUAAUUCAUUUGUUAAAGGAGAAGCAAGAGCAAGAACCUUUAAUCUGUUCUCCUCUUCCCUAAUUUGAAAGUAGCUUGUUAUUUUGAAUAUCACUUUCUCUGAAAUAGCACAUCUCCAUCUCAGAGAAUGGAUUUAAUGUUUGGAUACAGCCAAAAGUCAUUUCAUUACCAAACCAUGGGGUGAAUAUACCAUGUAAAGCAGUUUGGGAUCAGAACUCACAGUCUGAAUUGUAAGUGAUGAGACUGCUGUCUCUCUGCUACAGCUUCUUGGCUGGCUCUGAAGGCUCUUUGAAGGCAGAUCCUAACAAGGGGACUGCUUUGAAGGGCCAUUGUUCAUUUGGAAUGAUAAAGUCUAUGUUGUUCAAAAAACAAAUGCUUGUAGCAGGUAUUUUUUCACUCCAGACUGAGAAUAUUGGUGGGAUAUUGAUAAGGGGUACUGAAUGGUAAUAAACAUGUGCUCUAGCUCUGUGCUAGUCAGCUUAUUUCAGAACUCUAGUUUGAUUCAGUUUCUUGCCUCUGACUCAAAAUGGAGGGAGAGUGAUUUUUACAUAAGAGAACACACCCACAUAUCCUUUUGGCAGCAGCUACCUGCCAGAGAUGUUGAAGAAGAGUAGCCAACCUUUACACAGCAGAUAUUGUGUGCCAGUCAUAGUCCUAAGUAUAAUACCUUACAUGUAUAAACUUCUUAUAAGGUUGGUGCUCUGUACCGAAUUGAAUAGUAUCCCCCAAAAUUCAUGUUGUCCCAGAACCUAUGAAAGUGAUCUUACUUGAGGGAGGGGGGAGGGGGGAGGGAUAGCAUUAGGAGAUAUACCUAAUGCUAAAUGACGAGUUAAUGGGUGUAGCACACCAGCAUGGCACAUGUAUACAUAUGUAACUAACCUGCACAUUGUGCACAUGUACCCUAAAACUUAAAGUAUAAUAAUAAUAAAAUAAAAAAAAAAAAGAAAGUGAUCUUACUUGGAAAUAAGGUCUUUGCACAUAUGAUCAAGUUGAGAUGAAGUUGUACUGGAAAGUCUGUCUAGUGACUGGUGUUGUCAUAAGAAGAGAGGGACACAGAGGGAAGAUGGCCACAUGAAGAUGGAGGCAGAGAUUGCAGUUAUGCUGCUGCAAACUAAGGAAUGGCUCUGGCCCUCCAAGGAUUGCUGAUAACCACCAGAAACUAGAAGAGACAAGGAAGGAUUCUUCCCUAGAGCCUUCAGAGGGAGCAUGGCCCUACUGACACCUGGAUUUCAAACUUGUAGCUUCCUAAACUGCAAGAGAAUAAAUUUCUGUUGUUUUAAGCCA
rnacentral:lncRNA from 1 species